UUCAAUUUUGUCCACUGUAGUGGACAUUAUGUUUUUUCUCAUAUCUUCCAUACUAUACUUUUCACUCUACUUAGUCCUGUUGUUCCUUAAAGAGGACCACUGUGGCUUUAAAAUGACAUCACAUUUCAGGGGUGUGACUUUGCCAGGUUCUUGUUGCUGUCUUUUCAAAAUGGCUGCCAUCACAACAAGCAGAUUUUAUGGAAAAAAGAAAGGUUCAUGCCCAUGUUGGAGGAAUGUGGAAUUACAUCAGCUGAUGAUUCCCUAUACCGAAGAGACUGGAGCCCACUGCAGUAUUUCCAGCAGUACAUUGAUGAUCAGUUAAUUCGGGAUCUGUCUUUCUUCACCAACCAGCACAUGGUACAGGAUUCAGGCUGUAGCUUGAACACAACACCAGAAGAGAUCAAGACCUUUUUAGGAAUCUCCGUGUACAUGGCAUGCCUCGGAUAUCCAAGAAUGAAAAUGUACUGGGCACUUCAUUGAUUUGGCCAUCACCAACUCCUGGAUUCAAUACAGACAAGACAGUCAGACCUUGCAACGACCUGCAAAGAAAACCUCCCAGUACCUGGAGUUCAAACUUCUCUUGGCUGAAGAACUGAUAUCCCAGGCCCAAGUAGGUCAACGAGAUGACACUGACUCAAGUGAUCAAGAAUUCUUUCUGGAAAUCAAGAAAAGGAAGCCCCAUCCAGAUACAAGAAUAAGGAAAUAUGGUGCAAUUCAUUUGCCCCAAAUGCUCAACAUUCCAAAUGCUUCCAGAUGCAGAAUGCCUGGAUGCAAA